AUCAAUUUUCAUGUGAUGGA
rnacentral:siRNA from 1 species